GAUGAAGGAACGUAGCGAAAUGCGAUAAGUAAUGUGAAUUGCAGAAUUCAGUGAAUCAUCGAAUCUUUGAACGCACAUUGCGCCCGCCAGUAUUCUGGCGGGCAUGCCUGUUCGAGCGUCAUUACAACCCUCAGGCCCCCGGGCCUGGCGUUGGGGAUCGGCGGAGCCCCCCGUGGGCACACGCCGUCCCCCAAAUACAGUGGCGGUCCCGCCGCAGCUUCCAUCGCGUAGUAGCUAACACCUCGCGACUGGAGAGCGGCGCGGCCACGCCGUAAAACACCCAACUCUUCUGAAGUUGACCUCGAAUCAGGUAGGAAUACCCGCUGAACUUAAGCAUAUCAAUAAGCGGGGA
rnacentral:misc_RNA from 1 species